AUGUUCCCUAGAGUUCCUCUGAGCACUUCAUUAAGGAAAUAUUUUUUGCUCUUACUGAAGCGUUUGGGGGAACUCUUGGGUUCAU
rfam:Beta vulgaris subsp. vulgaris Bvchr6.sca028.con0171.1, whole genome shotgun sequence.